CACAUGCCAGUCGAACGGAAACAUGUCUAGCUUGCUAGAUGAUGUCGAGUGGCGGACGGGUGAGUAAUGCUUGGGAACUUGCCUUUGCGAGGGGGAUAACAGUUGGAAACGACUGCUAAUACCGCAUAAUGUCUUCGGACCAAACGGGGCUUCGGCUCCGGCGCAAAGAGAGGCCCAAGUGAGAUUAGCUAGUUGGUGAGGUAAAGGCUCACCAAGGCAACGAUCUCUAGCUGUUCUGAGAGGAAGAUCAGCCACACUGGGACUGAGACACGGCCCAGACUCCUACGGGAGGCAGCAGUGGGGAAUAUUGCACAAUGGGGGAAACCCUGAUGCAGCCAUGCCGCGUGUGUGAAGAAGGCCUUCGGGUUGUAAAGCACUUUCAGUUGUGAGGAAAAGUUAGUAGUUAAUACCUGCUAGCCGUGACGUUAACAACAGAAGAAGCACCGGCUAACUCCGUGCCAGCAGCCGCGGUAAUACGGAGGGUGCGAGCGUUAAUCGGAAUUACUGGGCGUAAAGCGCACGCAGGCGGUUUGUUAAGCUAGAUGUGAAAGCCCCGGGCUCAACCUGGGACGGUCAUUUAGAACUGGCAGACUAGAGUCUUGGAGAGGGGAGUGGAAUUCCAGGUGUAGCGGUGAAAUGCGUAGAUAUCUGGAGGAACAUCAGUGGCGAAGGCGACUCCCUGGCCAAAGACUGACGCUCAUGUGCGAAAGUGUGGGUAGCGAACAGGAUUAGAUACCCUGGUAGUCCACACCGUAAACGCUGUCUACUAGCUGUUUGUGACUUUAAGUCGUGAGUAGCGAAGCUAACGCGAUAAGUAGACCGCCUGGGGAGUACGGCCGCAAGGUUAAAACUCAAAUGAAUUGACGGGGGCCCGCACAAGCGGUGGAGCAUGUGGUUUAAUUCGAUGCAACGCGAAGAACCUUACCUACACUUGACAUGUUGAGAAGUUACUAGAGAUGGUUUCGUG
rnacentral:rRNA from 2 species